rnacentral:rRNA from 1 species
ACUCCUACGGGAGGCAGCAGUGGGGAAUAUUGCACAAUGGGCGCAAGCCUGAUGCAGCCAUGCCGCGUGUAUGAAGAAGGCCUUCGGGUUGUAAAGUACUUUCAGCAGUGAGGAAGGCGGGGUACGGUUAAUAGCGUGCUUGUUUGACGUUAGCUGCAGAAGAAGCACCGGCUAACUCCGUGCCAGCAGCCGCGGUAAUACGGAGGGUGCGAGCGUUAAUCGGAAUUACUGGGCGUAAAGCGCAUGCAGGUGGUUUGUUAAGUCAGAUGUGAAAGCCCGGGGCUCAACCUCGGAAUUGCAUUUGAAACUGGCAGACUAGAGUACUGUAGAGGGGGGUAGAAUUUCAGGUGUAGCGGUGAAAUGCGUAGAGAUCUGAAGGAAUACCGGUGGCGAAAGGCGGCCCCCUGGACAGAUACUGACACUCAGAUGCGAAAGCGUGGGGAGCAAACAGGAUUAGAUACCCUGGUAGGAUAGCG